rnacentral:rRNA from 1 species
UACACGUGAGUACCUGCCCCUGACUCUGGAAUAACCGUGGGAAACGACGGCUAAUACCGGAUAUGAGACGUCCACGCAUGUGAGCGUCUGGAAAGAUUUAUCGGUCUGGGAUGGACUCGCGGCCUAUCAGCUUGUUGGUGGGGUAAUGGCCCACCAAGGCGACGACGGGUAGCCGGCCUGAGAGGGCGACCGGCCACACUGGGACUGAGAUACGGCCCAGACUCCUACGGGAGGCAGCAGUGGGGAAUAUUGCACAAUGGGCGCAAGCUGAAUGCAGCGACGCCGCGUGGGGGAUGAAGGCCUUCGGGUUGUAAACCCUUUCAGCAGGGAAGAAGCGAAAGUGACGGUACCUGCAGAAGAAGCGCCGGCUAACUACGUGCCAGCAGCCGCGGUAAUACGUAGGGCGCAAGCGUUGUCCGGAAUUAUUGGGCGUAAAGAGCUCGUAGGCGGUUUGUCGCGUCUGCUGUGAAAACCCGAGGCUCAACCUCGGGCUUGCAGUGGGUACGGGCAGACUAGAGUGCGGUAGGGGUGACUGGAAUUCCUGGUGUAGCGGUGGAAUGCGCAGAUAUCAGGAGGAACACCGAUGGCGAAGGCAGGUCACUGGGCCGCAACUGACGCUGAGGAGCGAAAGCAUGGGGAGCGAACAGGAUUAGAUACCCUGGUAGUCCAUGCCGUAAACGUUGGGCACUAGGUGUGGGGCUCAUUCCACGAGUUCCGUGCCGCAGCAAACGCAUUAAGUGCCCCGCCUGGGGAGUACGGCCGCAAGGCUAAAACUCAAAGGAAUUGACGGGGGCCCGCACAAGCGGCGGAGCAUGCGGAUUAAUUCGAUGCAACGCGAAGAACCCUUACCAAGGCUUGACAUACACCGGAAAAGUGCAGAGAUGUGCUCCCCGCAAGGUCGGUGUACAGGUGGUGCAUGGUUGUCGUCAGCUCGUGUCGUGAGAUGUUGGGUUAAGUCCCGCAACGAGCGCAACCCUCGUCCUAUGUUGCCAGCACGUUAUGGUGGGGACUCAUAGGAGACUGCCGGGGUCAACUCGGAGGAAGGUGGGGAUGACGUCAAAUCAUCAUGCCCCUUAUGUCUUGGGCUUCACGCAUGCUACAAUGGCCGGUACAAAGGGCUGCGAUACCGCAAGGUGGAGCGAAUCCCAAAAAGCCGGUCUCAGUUCGGAUUGGGGUCUGCAACUCGACCCCAUGAAGUCGGAGUCGCUAGUAAUCGCAGAUCAGCAACGCUGCGGUGAAUACGUUCCCGGGCCUUGUACACACCG